rnacentral:Y_RNA from 1 species
GGCUGGUACGAGUGCAGUGGUGUUUACAACUCAUUGAUCAUAAAGAGUUAGAGAUUUCUUUAUUCCUUCCCCACUCCCACUGCUUUACUUGACUAGCCUUUA